CCCUAAACCAUUAACUCGUUAAGCUGAACAGUCAAUAGAGGUUGUGUCAAAAUCAUUCACAUCACUUGCUUGAUGCACAAACUGUUCUGAAUUGCCAAGAGGUCAGUUUCUGAGAAACUAUGACAAUCUUUUGCAGGCGAACUGGAGGGCGGAUCUGCUGAAUCAUAUCGUUCUAUUUGGUAACAGUUUCGAGGCAUACGAACAUCACAUGUCAAUAUGCAAAGAUCUUACAUGUCAAUAUUAUUAGUUAAUCAAGUUCGUAAUGAAACUUUA